GGCUACAGCCAUACUACCCUGAACGUGCCCAAUCUCGUCUGAUCUCGGAAGCUAAGCAGGUUUGGGCCUGGUUAGUACUUGGAUGGGAGACUACCUAGGAAGACCAGGUGCUGUAGGUG
rnacentral:rRNA from 1 species